UACGAAGGGGGCUAGCGUUGCUCGGAAUCACUGGGCGUAAAGGGUGCGUAGGCGGGUUUUUAAGUCAGAGGUGAAAUCCUGGAGCUCAACUCCAGAACUGCCUUUGAUACUGAAGAUCUUGAGUUCGGGAGAGGUGAGUGGAACUGCGAGUGUAGAGGUGAAAUUCGUAGAUAUUCGCAAGAACACCAGUGGCGAAGGCGGCUCACUGGCCCGAUACUGACGCUGAGGCACGGAAAGCGUGGGGAGCAAACAGG
rnacentral:rRNA from 1 species